UUAUUUAAGUACUUUUAUAAUCUUCCCACUGAAAAAUAUAGUUUCCCACUAACCUUAUUUAGUCUUACUCAUUUAUUUAGUCUUACUCAUUUUGAUGUUCUAUUAAGUAUUGAAACUUCUUGGUUGAAAGGCUGUGACAGGCAAACGAAUGUAGCUAAGAGAAAAGCUGUCAUCCAAGAGCUUGCACAAAGUUAAAUAACCUUGAUAAAUCUACCAUACUAUAUAGUAAGGUUCCCAUACUCAAGAGUCU
rnacentral:lncRNA from 1 species